rfam:Pyrenophora tritici-repentis Pt-1C-BFP supercont1.5 genomic scaffold, whole genome shotgun sequence.
CUCACCAUCACGACCUGUGUCAGCAUCUCCCGGCCACGUUCUUCGGGGCGUGUGACGGUUGAGAUACUGACAGUUCGUCCAUCAUGGAGCUUUCUUACUCUCAAUAGAGUGUUUCGGACGACAGGUGCGAAGAACAACUUUGGCAUCUUCCGGCAGCCUGAGCUCACCGCAAGGUUUGAGCUCGGUGUAUGGUUGUUUGUCAGGCAGACUGAUUCCUGAUCCCUUUUGCUAGGCCGUUGGCCUUUGAUGCUUGGGACUAACCCAGUCAGCUACAUAU